GACGAACGCUGGCGGCGUGCUUAACACAUGCAAGUCGAGCGAUGAAACUUCUUCGGAAGUGGAUAGCGGCGGACGGGUGAGUAACACGUGGGCAACCUGCCUCAUAGUGGGGAAUAGCCUCUCGAAAGGGAAAUUAAUACCGCAUAAGAUUGUAGUUCCGCAUGGAACAGCAAUUAAAGGAUUUAUUCGCUAUGAGAUGGGCCCGCGGCGCAUUAGCUAGUUGGUGAGGUAACGGCUCACCAAGGCGACGAUGCGUAGCCGACCUGAGAGGGUGAUCGGCAACAUUGGGACUGAGACACGGCCCAGACGCCUACGGGAGGCAGCAGUGGGGAAUAUUGCACAAUGGGGGAAACCCUGAUGCAGCAACGCCGCGUGAGUGAUGACGGUCUUCGGAUUGUAAAGCUCUGUCUUUAGGGACGAUAAUGACGGUACCUAAGGAGGAAGCCACGGCUAACUACGUGCCAGCAGCCGCAGUAA
rnacentral:rRNA from 1 species